UACGAGGGGGGCAAGCGUUGUUCGGAUUUACUGGGCGUAAAGGGUGUGUAGGCGGCAUGCCAAGUCAAUUGUUUAAUCUUGCAGCCUAACUGCAAUUGUGCGAUUGAUACUGGCUGUGCUAGAGGCUGGAAGAGAGAAGUGGAAUUCUCGGAGUAGCGGUGAAAUGCGUAGAUCUCGAGAGGAACACCGGUGGCGAAGGCGGCUUCUUGGUCCAAGUCUGACGCUGAUACACGAAAGCGUGGGGAGCAAACAGG
rnacentral:rRNA from 1 species